AUAAAGUGUGAUGAGGUGGUGAAGCAGCGUGGGAUCAUGGGAGUUGUUGUCUUCACCACCAUUGGCGUCAGCUUCUCCCGGUUAGGAUUCCUUCAGUGUUCAUGGUUCAGGAGGUUUCUACCGGGAGCCCAAUGAUCCACAGAGGUCUCCUCCUCUCCAACACAAACAGACCCGCUGAUUAAAACCACUAAACACACUGAAUAAAGCAGUU